AUUGAACGCUGGCGGCGUGCCUAACACAUGCAAGUCGCACGCGAAAGGGGGCAACCCCAAGUAGAGUGGCGGACGGGUGAGUAACGCGUAGGAAUCUACCUAGUAGUGGGGGACAACCCGGCGAAAGCCGGGCUAACACCGCAUACGACCUAAGGGUGAAAGCAGGGGAUCGCAAGACCUUGCGCUAUUAGAUGAGCCUGCGUCCGAUUAGCUAGUUGGUGAGGUAACGGCUCACCAAGGCGACGAUCGGUAACUGGUUUGAGAGAACGACCAGUCACAUUGGGACUGAGACACGGCCCAAACUCCUACGGGAGGCAGCAGUGGGGAAUAUUGGAAAAUGGGGGCAACCCUGAUCCAGCGACGCCGCGUGUGUGAAGAAGGCCUUCGGGUUGUAAAGCACUUUCGGCAGGGACAAACAAGACGGAGCUAACAUCUCCGUUCCUGAUGGUACCUGAAGAAGAAGCACCGGCUAACUCUGUGCCAGCAGCCGCCGUAA
rnacentral:rRNA from 1 species